GCCUCCAUAACUCAGUUGGUAGAGUGUCUGACUGUUAAUCAGAAUGUCACAGGUUCGAGUCCUGUUGGGGGCG
rnacentral:tRNA from 1 species